UUUAUUUAUGCAUUCCAUGAAAUCGUAGUAUACUCUAUUCUAAAUUUCGUUGAACUAUUCCAGAAUAGUGAACGACACCUCACAGCUCAGCAGUGGAAAUUGAUUUGUGUAAUUUUUGGAUUGGACAUUGGUGCCAAGAGUUUGGGCUAUUUGCUUGACCCGAGCACAGUUCCCCGCACUUGAUGAUGAAUGCCCGGCCCUGGAGAAAAACAAGGAAAAGCGAAUGAAACACACCCACAUAUCAUGGCACUUUCCCUCCUUUCCUCCUUCCCUCCCACAUUUCCUCCUUAUUUUUCCCCGCCGCUCUUGCCAAUUUUCCUCUAUCUUUCGGUGUUGGCCGUAAUGACCUGGACAACAAUGAAAAGGAGAAGACAGCGACGGACAGCAUGAUAA
rnacentral:sRNA from 1 species